rnacentral:rRNA from 1 species
AAAAAAGGUAAGCUACUAAGAGCGAAUGGUGGAUGCCUUGACUGGUAAAGGCGAUGAAGGACGUACUAGACUGCGAUAAGCUACGGGGAGCUGUCAAGAAGCUUUGAUCCGUAGAUUUCCGAAUGGGGCAACCCAAUGUAUAGAGAUAUACAUUACCUAUAUAGGAGCGAACGAGGGGAAUUGAAACAUCUUAGUACCCUCAGGAAAAGAAAUCAAUAGAGAUUGCGUCAGUAGCGGCGAGCGAAAGCGCAAGAGGGCAAACCCAGUGCUUGCACUGGGGGUUGUAGGACUGCAAUGUGCAAGAGCUGAGUUUAGCAGAACAUUCUGGAAAGUAUAGCCAUAGAGGGUGAUAGUCCCGUAUGCGAAAAACAAAGCUUAGCUAGCAGUAUCCUGAGUAGGGCGGGACACGAGGAAUCCUGUCUGAAUCCGGGUCGACCACGAUCCAACCCUAAAUACUAAUACCAGAUCGAUAGUGCACAAGUACCGUGAGGGAAAGGUGAAAAGAACUGAGGUGAUCAGAGUGAAAUAGAACCUGAAACCAUUUGCUUACAAUCAUUCAGAGCACUAUGUAGCAAUACAGUGUGAUGGACUGCCUUUUGCAUAAUGAGCCUGCGAGUUGUGGUGUCUGGCAAGGUUAAGCAAACGCGAAGCCGUAGCGAAAGCGAGUCUGAAUAGGGCGCUUAGUCAGAUGCUGCAGACCCGAAACGAAGUGAUCUAUCCAUGAGCAAGUUGAAGCUAGUGUAAGAACUAGUGGAGGACUGAACCCAUAGGCGUUGAAAAGCCCCGGGAUGACUUGUGGAUAGGGGUGAAAGGCCAAUCAAACUUCGUGAUAGCUGGUUCUCUCCGAAAUAUAUUUAGGUAUAGCGUUGUGUCGUAAUAUAAGGGGGUAGAGCACUGAAUGGGCUAGGGCAUACACCAAUGUACCAAACCCUAUCAAACUCCGAAUACCUUAUAUGUAAUCACAGCAGUCAGGCGGCGAGUGAUAAAAUCCGUCGUCAAGAGGGAAACAACCCAGACUACCAGCUAAGGUCCCUAAGUCUUACUUAAGUGGAAAACGAUGUGAAGUUACUUAAACAACCAGGAGGUUGGCUUAGAAGCAGCCAUCCUUUAAAGAAAGCGUAAUAGCUCACUGGUCUAGUGAUUUUGCGCGGAAAAUAUAACGGGGCUAAAGUAAGUACCGAAGCUGUAGACUUGCGCACAACUUAGAUUAUUUAAGUUUAGAAUAUGAGAAACUAAGUUAUAUUUUUACUGAUUUUUAUAGAGUAAAGAUAGAAAUAAAACUUAGUAAAAUCAGUAAAAAUAUUCUUAGGCUAAAGUUAAGUAGUUUAAGUUGUGUGCAAGUGGUAGGAGAGCGUUCUAUUUGCGUCGAAGGUAUACCGGUAAGGAGUGCUGGAGCGAAUAGAAGUGAGCAUGCAGGCAUGAGUAGCGAUAAUUAAUGUGAGAAUCAUUAACGCCGUAAACCCAAGGUUUCCUACGCGAUGCUCGUCAUCGUAGGGUUAGUCGGGUCCUAAGUCGAGUCCGAAAGGGGUAGACGAUGGCAAAUUGGUUAAUAUUCCAAUACCAACAUUAGUGUGCGAUGGAAGGACGCUUAGGGCUAAGGGGGCUAGCGGAUGGAAGUGCUAGUCUAAGGUCGUAGGAGGUUAUACAGGCAAAUCCGUAUAACAAUACUCCGAGAACUGAAAGGCUUUUUGAAGUCUUCGGAUGGAUAGAAGAACCCCUGAUGCCGUCGAGCCAAGAAAAGUUUCUAAGUUUAGCUAAUGUUGCCCGUACCGUAAACCGACACAGGUGGGUGGGAUGAGUAUUCUAAGGCGCGUGGAAGAACUCUCUUUAAGGAACUCUGCAAAAUAGCACCGUAUCUUCGGUAUAAGGUGUGGUUAGCUUCGUACUAGGAUUUACUCCGAAAGCGAAGAAACUUACAACAAAGAGUCCCUCCCGACUGUUUACCAAAAACACAGCACUCUGCUAACUCGUAAGAGGAUGUAUAGGGUGUGACGCCUGCCCGGUGCUCGAAGGUUAAUUGAUGGGGUUAGCAUUAGCGAAGCUCUUGAUCGAAGCCCGAGUAAACGGCGGCCGUAACUAUAACGGUCCUAAGGUAGCGAAAUUCCUUGUCGGUUAAAUACCGACCUGCAUGAAUGGCGUAACGAGAUGGGAGCUGUCUCAAAGAGGGAUCCAGUGAAAUUGUAGUGGAGGUGAAAAUUCCUCCUACCCGCGGCAAGACGGAAAGACCCCGUGGACCUU